UGUAAUUUAUUGUCCGUUUCUAACUAGCCCAGCGGCCGGCUGAAACGAAAAAAGUUGGCUAGCUUGCUAGCUAGUCUAGACUACUUCCAGAUACACAACAUGGUUAGACUUGUUCAAGUUAUUUAGAAGGAUGAGUGACUGUAACUGUGUAGUGUAUUGGUAGAGUGAAAGUACAAGUGCUUCCCACAUCGAAGAAUGCCUCCAAGACACAAAUCUCGUUCUCAGUCGCAUUUCCUAAUGAGAAUUGAAACCAAGGAUAAAGCAAGCAAUUCAGCCCUCCUUUAGCAGUUGUCUUCGUGCAUUAUUUACAUGCAUUUCCCACAGGCUGCGCAUAGGUCCACGAAGGCAGAGGCGCAGAAGAGUAUCCAGGAAAGACACGAAUAAAGUAAACCAAAAUAUCCCAGACAGUGACAACCCAAAAAGUUUAGACUACAACUCAGCGGUCAUGGGAGAGAAGGGCUUCCACUCUAGACGCCGUUGGUGGGAAGUUGGAGUUUCCAAGAAGAGUUGGGAGUUUCCAAAAAGACUGUCAACAGGAAGAAGGCGGGCAAAAAGACUUACGCUUCGAACACACCGACUGUGUUUUGCGUUUCGAUACACCAGAAGUACAUUAAUUUCCAAUGGAACGCUGCAUUUGCCUUGAAGCGUUGCAUAAGCAGUUGCAGUGCGUUCUGUGUCAAAUUGUAUGCGUAGACUUGACAGAAAGUAGAAAAAAUAUGAAUGUUGAUUUUUUUUUUUUGCACACAUAUUCAGUAAAAAUGUGGGAUUACAUAAAAACAGUUUGAUUGCAUAAUUUCUUUACAUUUUUUAUUAAUUUAUUUGCCAAGUAUAUUAUUUAUUAGAUGACAACCACAAAUUAAUUGUGAGAGCCUAUAAUAUAAUUUCCCUCCAAAAUGCAGUUUUGGAGCGAAAUGCAAUAAUAAAUAGUCAAGAUAGCAGAGUAGGCUCUUUCAACAAUGAGACCAACGUUGAGGAAGGUGGUCUUGAUCGCGCUGUUGGGCCGGGACCAGCCCCGCCGAAAGCGCAGGUCUGUGUGGGUCCAGAGAUGGUUAAAGUACCGAAAGCAGGCAGGGGAGUUCCACCGUCUAAUUCAAGAGCUUCGACUGUUUGGAGAGGAAUUCCGAAGUUACUUUCGUCUGGACCGAAGACAGUUCGAUCACCUGCUCCAGAUGGUUGGAGCCAGGAUCACCCGGAUGGAUACCAACUACCGGGAGUCCAUCAGCACAUUUGAACCCCAUGGCGAUUUGUCUCCGAUUCUUGGCGACAGGGGACUCCUACAGGACCAUAGGAUUCAGCUUCCGAGUUGGACGGUCCACGCUGGCAGGCAUUGUCCCCUCUGUCGCACAAGCCAUUUGGGACUGUCUGGUUGGUGAAUACAUGCCUGUCCCCAAGGAGGAAGACUGGAGGGCCAUCGCUGCCGAGUUCCUAGAGAGGUGGAAUUUCCCCAACUGUCUUGGCUCCAUUUGACGGGAAACAUGUAGUAAUCCAGGCUCCACCGUGCUCAGGUUCCCAAUUCUACAACUACAAGGGUACAUAUUCAGUUAUACUCUUGGCUGUAGAAGAUGCCAUCUACUGUUUCCGUGUUGUCGAUGUUGGUGCUUACGGCAAGGGAAGUGAUGGCGGGACCCUCCGGGACUCUGCCUUUGGCCAGGCACUUCAGGAUGGCACCCUGGAUAUUCCACCACCUGCAUCACUCCCUGGGGCUGAAGACCUGGGACCUGUUCCCCACGUCUUCGUCGGCGAUGAGGCCUUCCCUUUAAGACCCAACCUCAUGAGGCCCUACGCUGGACGUCAGCUGCCAUUGCCAAAGCCUGUAAGGAUCUUUAACAAACAACUGUCCAGGGUUAGUUGUUGAAUGCGCCUCUGGGAUUCUGGCAGCCCGAUGGAGAAUGUAUCGGAGAGUGCUUGGUCUCAGCCCCUCAAAUGUCGAAGCCUGCGUGAAGGCCACGUAUUCUCCACAAAUACCUGCGGAGGUAAUUUAAGAGCCCCAUAACACAAAGGUUAUUUUAAGAACCAUCCACCGUUGUCCAUAAAAUUGCAUUUUUCCCCCCAGAUGACUUUAUGUAUCAUUGUCUCUAUUCAUUUGGAUGCCAUAUUUAAGUGAAAUUUGGGAGUAAAGACCACACCUUAACCCCGUCCCUCUCCCAUUAACGUCAGUAUUAUACACACCUGGCAUGGUACACCAGGUGAGCGGGAGCACUAAUUAAGGUUAUACGACAUACAGUUAGUAUGAUAACAAAGGGAAAGGGUAACCUAGGGUCCAUACAAAUAGUACAGUUUACCACCAUGUUCACUGGCCUGACAAAAUACAGGUGGUAAAAAAACUAAUUAGGAAGAGAAUGUGCUUUUACUUUCAUCUUGUCUUAGAUCAGCAAAGGUGUUGGGAAGAAAUAAGCAGAUUAAGUCUAAAUUAGAUAUUAAUAAACAACUGACUAUGAAAACAUUAUAAUUGAAUAAGUAUUCAAGUACAGGAAAGAACAUGACAAGAACAACAGUGUGUUGUAAAAAUGUUUAAAAAAAAAUAAAACUACUGAAAGA